AGUGAACGCUGGCGGUAGGCCUAACACAUGCAAGUCGAACGGCAGCACAGUAAGAGCUUGCUCUUACGGGUGGCGAGUGGCGGACGGGUGAGGAAUACAUCGGAAUCUACUUUUUCGUGGGGGAUAACGUAGGGAAACUUACGCUAAUACCGCAUACGACCUACGGGUGAAAGCAGGGGAUCUUCGGACCUUGCGCGAUUGAAUGAGCCGAUGUCGGAUUAGCUAGUUGGCGGGGUAAAGGCCCACCAAGGCGACGAUCCGUAGCUGGUCUGAGAGGAUGAUCAGCCACACUGGAACUGAGACACGGUCCAGACUCCUACGGGAGGCAGCAGUGGGGAAUAUUGGACAAUGGGCGCAAGCCUUAUCCAGCCAUACCGCGUGGGUUGAGAAGGCCUUCGGGUUGUAAAGCCCUUUUGUUGGGAAAGAAAAGCAGCAGGUUAAUACCCCGCUGUUCUGACGGUACCCAAAGAAUAAGCACCGGCUAACUUCGUG
rnacentral:rRNA from 1 species